rnacentral:tRNA from 1 species
GGGGUUGUGGCUCAGUGGUAGAGCGUUUGCCUUGCAUGCAUGAGGCACUGGGUUUGAUCCUCAGCACCA